UGUGUUUUCUAUCGUAAUAUCUUCAAAAUUUAAAUCUUCAUCUAUAUUUUUCUCUCAUCUCUCCUAUCCUCUCUAUUUUCUAUCCUUGUACUUUGAAAUUGCAGUCGGCUCAUCCAAAAAUAGAGAACAACAACAAUACACAACCACCAUCCUACCUCAUCCUAAAAAUUGUGAUAUUUCUUUUUUUUUGGACAGGAAAACAAAAAGAAUACACAACCACCGUCAUGCCUCGUCCUAAAGACUUCUAGACUGCUGGUGAUAGCCGCCAAGAGUAUAAAGCCCAGGAUUUUGAAGCCAUGCGGCAUCAGACAAAUUCUCAACGCCCUCGACACCGGUGGAAUUGGUCAUAUUCUCAGUUGUUAUUAAACUCACUAUGAAGAUUAAUCUUGAUCAAUACAACAGCAAUGGAGUGGGUUCUCUAGUUGCAAUUAAAAGCAAUACUUAUUGUUUAUGCAGUGUUUGGAUAAUUAAAUUAUUACCAGUUUACAAAACUGUUAACCGUAAACUUUAUUCAAUGGAUAGUUAGAGAAAUUAUUGUACCAAAACAGUGAAUUCUGAAUAAUUGAAAGUUAUGUUUUCCAUUACC